rnacentral:lncRNA from 1 species
GCGGCCCGGUCCCGGGGGAGCGGCGCGGCGGCCGGACGUGUUUUACCGAGGGGAAGGCGUCUGCCUUGCCCCCUUGCCCGGCUUCUCGUGGGUCAUCGCCUCCCCCCGAGAGCAGCUCCGAGCCCCCAGCCGGGAGGGGAGCGCUCUUGGGGGGGCCCCUGGCAGCGCCGGGCCCUGCCUUCCCUCCAGGGUCUGCAGUGAGCCCCAGGCACAGCUCCCAACAGCCUCCAAGCAUGAGGAAUUCUCUUUUUUUCUCUCCAGUAAACCCAUCCUUAAAAAUAAUGGAUACUGUAAGCCCUGUGGGGCAGGGACCGCUUUUCUUGAGACGGUGUGAAAGGUUUGGCAAAACCGGAGCCAGGUUUCUCUCCAGGUGCCWCUGUAAAGCAAUGAAAUAUCAAUAUUAUUAGAUAGCUACACUGCUUAAAAACAGUCGUAAAACUAUAACCUUCACACUGACAUAAAUGUGAGAGUGCUUUAUAGAACAAGAGGAAACACAGAGACUUAAAAAYCUUAAAAUCGUCUCCAUAUUUUUCUUUUAAGACAGAAAUGCCACGUGACAGAACACCCCGCAGUAGAGGAGCUGCUUAAAUACACUUUGCGAACGAAUCCCAACUUUAGGGAAGUGUCUCGAAUGAAUGAGACUUGGCAGGAAAGUUCCUCUGACCUGCUGUGCAGCGGCUGGGAAAAGGCAAGCAGGUGGCCUUCCUCUCUGCUCCAGCUAUGGCCUUUCUGAAAGAACUUCAGUAAGCAGUAAACGGCAGACACAACAGCCAUUGUCAGAGGAGGAAAUCGGAUUAAUUCGAUGUGGUUUCCCACCCUUGAGUGGCGUCUCCUCAUCUAGGAUAGGUUUUGUGCUAGCACUUGGUGUCCUUGGGAGCUUUCCUGUCUUCCGUGGGCUUUUGAAGACAAUUGCAGGUGCUACUGGAAGCCCCAUAACUUCCUCAUUUUGCAAUUAUGCUAAAACUGAAAUGUUUCUGCAGACAGAAGUUCAACUUACAGCAAGGAUGUUACAAGAAUAAUACAAGGAAUUAUCUGAAACAGUAAGAUGA